rnacentral:tRNA from 1 species
GUGGCGGAACUGGUAGACGCGCCAGGUUGAGGGCCUGGUGGAUGUAAAAUCCAUGGGGGUUCAAGUCCCCCCGUCCGCACCA